GACACGUGGCUGGUCAAAGAUGGGGUCUGGACUCUGUACUCUGGAGCCUGAAAAGUCUUUUCUGUGUCUGAGAUCACCCUAGCUAAGAGAGCUUCCUGUCUCUGGGAUUCCCUUAAUACCCCAGCACAACUACAUUAUGACACCACACUGGGCAUGCAUUGUAGAACAUCAGAUCACCAUAUUAUCCUAAAGAUACACCAACUAGAUUGACCACAUCAUUACAUUACAUCAAGUAUGUGCUUAGAGAACCACCAUCUCACACCAGGAGGUCUAAUGAUAGCACCCACCUUACAAGAUUGCUAUAAGGUCAGCCAAGGGAAAGUACACCUGCAUUCAUAGAACACCAUCCUGUUUUCAUUUAUAAAGAAAGAAGCUUAUCAAAUUAGCAGCACGGGUUCAGUUAAGUCAAUGUAAAACACUGCUUGUCCUGUAGAGGAGAAAGGAUUUUAGCUGUCAUUUAACCUUCAUUAAAAUGGGUCAGUUACAAACAAGCUUGGUCAAUAUGUGCUUCUGUUCCCCUCAGUGAAAUCUUGUA